rnacentral:rRNA from 1 species
ACCUGCAGCCCAAGUGGUGGUCGAUUUUAUUGAGUCUAAAACGUUCGUAGCCGGUUUGAUAAAUCCUUGGGUAAAUCGAGAAGCUUAACUUUUCGAUUUCCGUGGAGACUGCCAAACUUGGGACUGGGAGAGGUUGGAGGAACUGCUGGGGUAGGGGUAAAAUCCGUAGAUCCUCGAAGGACCACCGGUGGCGAAGGCGGCUAGCUGGAACGGCUCCGACGGUGAGGCACGAAACCCUGGGGAGCAAACAG